rnacentral:rRNA from 1 species
AUUGAACGCUGGCGGCAGGCCUAACACAUGCAAGUCGAACGAGUGGCGGACGGGUGAGUAAUGUAUGGGAAACUGCCCGAUGGAGGGGGAUAACCACUGGAAACGGUAGCUAAUACCGCAUUCCAUCAGAUAUGCCUAGUUGGGAUGAGCGAGUUGGUGGGGGAACGGCUCACAAAGGCGACGAUCCCUAACUGGUCUGAGAGGAUGAACAGCCACACUGGAACGGAGACACGGUCCAGAUUCCUCCGGGAGGCAGCAGUGGGGAAUAUUGCACAAUGGGCGAAAGCCUGAUGCAGCCAUGCCGCGUGUAUGAAGAAGGCCUUCGGGUUGUAAAGUACUUUAAGCGGGGAGGCGUUACCCGCAGAAGAAGCACCGGCUAACUCCGUGCCAGCAGCCGCGGUAAUUC